UACGGAGGGGGCUAGCGUUGUUCGGAAUUACUGGGCGUAAAGCGCACGUAGGCGGCUUUGUAAGUUAGAGGUGAAAGCCCGGGGCUCAACUCCGGAAUUGCCUUUAAGACUGCAUCGCUAGAAUUGUGGAGAGGUAAGUGGAAUUCCGAGUGUAGAGGUGAAAUUCGUAGAUAUUCGGAAGAACACCAGUGGCGAAGGCGACUUGCUGGGCGUGAUCUGACGCUGAGGCGCGAAAGCGUGGGGAGCGAACAGG
rnacentral:rRNA from 1 species